GCUUACGGCCAUACCACCCUGAAUGCGCCCGAUCUCGUCUGAUCUCGGAAGCUAAGCAGGGUCAGGCCUGGUUAGUACUUGGAUGGGUGACCGCCUGGGAAUACCAGGAGGUGUAAGCU
rnacentral:rRNA from 1 species